rnacentral:rRNA from 1 species
UACAGAGGUGUCGAGCGUUGUUCGGAUUUACUGGGCGUAAAGGGUGCGUAGGCGGUUUCGUGUGUCGGACGUGAAAUCUCGCUGCUCAACGGCGAAACGGCGUCCGAAACUACGAAACUCGAGUGCAGGAGAGGAAAGCGGAAUUCUAGGUGUAGCGGUGAAAUGCGUAGAUAUCUAGAAGAACACCGGUGGCGAAGGCGGCUUUCUGGACUGUUACUGACGCUGAGGCACGAAGGCUGGGGGAGCAAACAGGAUUAGAUACCCUGGUAGUCCCAGCAGUAAACGUUGUACACUUGGUGUGGGAGGAGUUAUCCCCUUCCGUGCCGGAGCUAACGCGUUAAGUGUACCGCCUGGGGAGUACGGCCGCAAGGCUAAA